CCUACGGGAGGCAGCAGUGAGGAAUAUUGGUCAAUGGGCGAGAGCCUGAACCAGCCAAGUCGCGUGAGGGAGUACUGCCCUAUGGGUUGUAAACCUCUUUUGUCGGGGAGCAAAAGCCGGACGUGUCCGGCUGUGAGAGUACCCGAAGAAAAAGCAUCGGCUAACUCCGUGCCAGCAGCCGCGGUAAUACGGGGGAUGCGAGCGUUAUCCGGGUUUAUUGGGUUUAAAGGGUGCGCAGGCGGAUUUUUAAGUCAGCGGUAAAAUCGUGGGGGCCAACCCCAUCCAGCCGUUGAGACUGGGGGUCUAGAGUAUGCGAGAGGUAUGCGGAAUGCGUGGUGUAGCGGUGAAAUGCAUAGAUAUCACGCAGAACCCCGAUUGCGAAGGCAGCAUACCGAUGCACGACUGACACUCAGGCUCGAAAGCGUGGGUAUCGAACAGGAGUAGAUACCCUGGUAGUC
rnacentral:rRNA from 1 species